GACGAACGCUGGCGGCGUGCUUAACACAUGCAAGUCGAACGGAAAGGCCCUGCUUUUGUGGGGUGCUCGAGUGGCGAACGGGUGAGUAACACGUGAGUAACCUGCCCUUGACUUUGGGAUAACUUCAGGAAACUGGGGCUAAUACCGGAUAGGAGCUCCUGCUGCAUGGUGGGGGUUGGAAAGUUUCGGCGGUUGGGGAUGGACUCGCGGCUUAUCAGCUUGUUGGUGGGGUAGUGGCUUACCAAGGCUUUGACGGGUAGCCGGCCUGGGAGGGUGACCGGCCCCAUUGGGACUGAGCUGCGGCCCAGACUCCUACGGGAGGCAGCAGUGGGGAAUAGUGCACUAUGGGCGGAAGCCUGAUGCAGCAACGCCGCGUGCGGGAUGACGGCCUUCGGGUUGUAAACCGCUUUCGCCUGUGACGAAGCGUGAGUGACGGUAAUGGGUAAAGAAGCACCGGCUAACUACGUG
rnacentral:rRNA from 1 species